CCCUGGAUCCGGGUGAGGCCUU
rnacentral:miRNA from 1 species